CCUACGGGAGGCUGCAGUGAGGAAUAUUGGUCAAUGGACGCAAGUCUGAACCAGCCAAGUAGCGUGCAGGAUGACGGCCCUCCGGGUUGUAAACUUCUUUUAUAUGGGAAUAAAACGCUCCACGUGUGGGACUUUGUAUGUACCAUAUGAAUAAGGAUCGGCUAACUCCGUGCCAGCAGCCGCGGUAAUACGGAGGAUCCGAGCGUUAUCCGGAUUUAUUGGGUUUAAAGGGAGCGUAGGUGGAUUGUUAAGUCAGUUGUGAAAGUUUGCGGCUCAACCGUAAAAUUGCAGUUGAAACUGGCAGGCUGGAGUACAGUAGAGGUAGGCGGAAUUCGUGGUGUAGCGGUGAAAUGCUUAGAUAUCACGAAGAACUCCGAUUGCGAAGGCAGUUCACUGGACUGCAACUGACACUGAGGCUCGAAAGUGUGGGUAUCAAACAGGAUUAGAUACCCUGGUAGUC
rnacentral:rRNA from 1 species